rnacentral:rRNA from 1 species
CAAUUAUUUAUAGCCUCUGGCUAUAGGAAAUUGUUAGUGGCAGACGGGUGAGUAAUGCGUAGGAAUCUACCUAGUAGUACGGAAUAGCCAUUAGAAAUGGUGGGUAAUACUGUAUAAUCCCCGAGGGGGAAAGAUUUAUCGCUAUUAGAUGAGCCUACGUUAGAUUAGCUAGUUGGUGAGGUAAUGGCUUACCAAGGCUAUGAUCUAUAGCUGGUCUGAGAGGACGAUCAGCCACACUGGAACUGAGAUACGGUCCAGACUCCUACGGGAGGCAGCAGUGGGGAAUAUUGGACAAUGGGCGAAAGCCUGAUCCAGCUAUGCCGCGUGAGUGAAGAAGGCCUUCGGGUUGUAAAACUCUUUCAAUAGGGAAGAUAAUGACGGUACCUAUA